rnacentral:rRNA from 1 species
GUUAAGUUAUUAAGGGCGCAUGGUGAAUGCCUUGGUACUAGGAGCCGAUGAAGGACGGAACUAACACCGAUAUGUUUCGGGGAGCUGUACUAACUUUGAUCCGGAGAUUUCCGA